AUUAUGCCCAUCCAGAUUUGAAUUAGCAGGUUGUAACACAGUCAUUCAGAAUAGGCUAUAUUUUGACCGAAUUAACCCGUUUAACCCGUUUCUUUAUGGUAUCUAUAUUUUGACCAGUUUUGUAUUUAUUUCUUAAGUAAACAUUACUCAAAUGUUAAUGCACUUCACUUUAUCAUCAACUAAUAUUAUUACUAGCUUACCAAGCUUAUCAAUCACUUCUAUAUUCAGAUUUUUAAAAAUUAUGUUUUGUUAUUAAGAAGAUUGGUUGAGUUAUUUUGUACACACAUCCCUUUAGUAUACAAGAAAGCAAGUCUUUUUAGUGGUUUAUAUUGUUUAUAUAAGUACAUAAAGCCUAAUGUCGCUGGUGGGUUUUGUUGGCUUGUGUUAAGGUAAGUGUAAUUAGAAGAAAAUAUAAUGAGUUAUUAGUUCAAGUGCUAGAGUAACAUAUUUCUCAGUUUUAUUAGUGGUGGAACGGGUCAAAAAAGGUAAGUGAUUAUAUAUCAUACUAUAUGAUCUAUAUAAUGGGUUAGUGCGAAUAUUAUUGUCAUUAAUGAUUACAUGGGUAUGCAAUUUCUUUUGCAGGAAAUCAAAGACGCUAUGGAAGCUGGGAAUCAAAGAAGAAUUCGGUGCUUUAUGGAUGUACCAAUUUUUAAGCUUAGUUUUGUUUAUGUAGAUGCUAUACGUGUAAUUCGACACAUAUUUAAUAUGUUAACAUCAUAUACAAUUAUCUUUAGGAAUAUGUACUUUCUUUGUAUCUAUUUUAUUUAUACACUUAUGAUCUAUAUAAAUUAAAUGGUCUAGCCCGUGUAGUACACGGUAAUCCAUCUUCUUUUCUGGUAUCGGCCUCUCUUCAGUGUGAACUUUUGGGGAGGUAUGUUCCAAGAAUUUUCAAAUAUCAGGAGUAAGAAUGUGAUUGUAGGUCCUAUGUACUUGAUGCCAACAUAAAUGAUUGUACAUUCUAAGAGUUUUAUAGAAUUGUGUGAUUGUUGUAGGUUUUCACUGCUACUCGAACAUAUGGUGAAACUGGAAUGAAUUAGUCCAUGGAACUGCAGAUGCCGUGAGGCGAUUUGCAUGGGUUUCCUAAUUGAACAAACAGUUUUCAAUAUGGUAAUUGCUGGUUGUAAUCAUGUAUCCGAGUAUUUUUGAUCUGCUGCAUUUAGGAAAGCUAUUCAAGCAUGCUAUCUUAAUUCCGGCAUGGAUUUGUGUGUGAAAACUAUUGAAAAUAAUAAAGAAUUUUUUUUACCAAAGCCGAUAUGAAAUAAAGUUUCUGAAAUUUGUCAACAAGCAGGAUCCUGGUGAUCGAUACCAUCUUCUCAGAGUAAGUGAACAUAUUGUUGCUACUGGCUUAUAUUGUUUCAUCAUUGUUUGGUAUGAUUCUUGCUUUAAUAUGUUUUUAUCUUCAUGUAUUUCAGGAUCAUUUGUUAAUCGUAUCUGAACUUCUUAAAGAAAAUUUAUAUGAAUUCCAAAAGUUCAAUAGAUAAUCUGGUGGUGAGGUAUUGUGUUUGUAUCUAUAAACCAUAUAAAAAAUCUGGGCAACUGAAUAAGAUGAUUUGGAGGGUUUUGUGUGGUAUUAUUUAUUCAUUUAGUUAUUGUACCAGGUGAGACACCAAGUGUUAAUAUUGCUUUUUGUAUGGUAUUAUUUUUAUUCAUUUAGUAAUUGUAUCAGGUGGGAAAGAAUUGAUGUUGGAGGCUUGGAAAGAAUUGAUGUUGGAGGCUUGGAGCUGUGAAAGUACUAUGUCAAUCUAUUGUUAAGGUGUUAAUACUGAGUUUCUUUAGCAAACUAUAUAAAUUAAUCAUUUUUUAAUGGUUAACAGGGUAGAGUUUUGCUUGAUACUAUUAGUGGAAGAGGUUUAGGUCCGUCAUUUCAUGCAGUUCUUAAUGUUGGUAUAAAGAUGAUUAAACAAGCACUCGAAAGUGGAGAUGUGAAUAAUCCUCAAUCCCAAUCUGAAUUAAUAUGGAACCGUAUGGAACUAUCGGUGAUGUUGGAACAUGUGCAGAAUAUGUGAUUCCAGCCGAUUGCAGGUCUAUUUUCCUUUAAAAUGCGUGUGUGUUAAGAUGUACAAGCAAUUAGAAAUAGCAGAGACCAUAUACUCAGGCGAAUACUAUCUCAUUUUUUGUAGUUGUUUAUACAAAUUACCAGCUUCAUUGUUAUGGUGUUACAGUAAUUUGUGAUCAGUCUCCAAAGAGUAAGAGUCAAAGCAAAAUUGAAGUUGUACUAGGGGAAAACUCAACACUACUGUGUUUGUUUAGGUUUUAUUUUUCAAUACAUUUUAGCUUUGUUAUAUUUUAAAGCUGAGAUGUAUGAAGACGGUGUUUCUAUUAUUGUUAACCUCAAGUUCUUAGUGAAA